AUACGGAGGAUCCGAGCGUUAUCCGGAUUUAUUGGGUUUAAAGGGUGCGCAGGCGGCCAUUUAAGUCAGCGGUUAAAUCGUGGGGCUCAACCCCAUUCUGCCGUUGAUACUGGGUGGCUUGAUUGCGGUCGAGGUUGGCGGAAUUCGUUGUGUAGCGGGGAAAUGCAUAGAUAUGACGAAGAACACCGAUUGCGUAGGCAGCUGACCAGACCGCAAAUGACGCUCAUGCACGAAAGUGCGGGGAUCGAACAGGAUUAGAUACCCUGGUAGUCCGCACAGUAAACGAUGAAUACUUGUUUUCGGCGAUAUAAUGUCGGAGGCAAAGCGAAAGCGAUAAGUGUUCCACCUGGGGAGUACGCCGGCAACGGUGAAACUCAAAGGAAUUGACGGGG
rnacentral:rRNA from 1 species